AUUGAACGCUGGCGGCAGGCCUAACACAUGCAAGUCGAGCGAGUGGCGGACGGGUGAGUAAUGCUUGGGAAUCUAGCUUAUGGAGGGGGAUAACUGCGGGAAACUGUAGCUAAUACCGCUUACCAUACGAUGAGCCCAAGGGGGAUUAGGUAGUUGGUGAGGUAAAGGCUCACCAAGCCGACGAUCGCUAGCUGGUCUGAGAGGAUGACCAGCCACACUGGGACUGAGACACGGCCCAGACUCCUACGGGAGGCAGCAGUGGGGAAUAUUGCGCAAUGGGGGCAACCUGACGCAGCCAUGCCGCGUGUAUGAAGAAGGCCCUAGGGUUGUAAAGCACUUUCAGUCGGGAGGCGUUACCGACAGAAGAAGCACCGGCUAACUCCGUGCCAGCAGCCGCGGUAAUUC
rnacentral:rRNA from 1 species